UGGCUUGGCUCAGGCGCAGGUGGG
rnacentral:siRNA from 1 species